UACAGAGGUCUCAAGCGUUGUUCGGAUUCAUUGGGCGUAAAGGGUGCGUAGGCGGCGCGGUAAGUCGGGUGUGAAAUCUCGGAGCUUAACUCCGAAACUGCAUUCGAUACUGCCGUGCUUGAGGACUGGAGAGGAGACUGGAAUUUACGGUGUAGCGGUGAAAUGCGUAGAUAUCGGGAGGAACACCAGUGGCGAAGGCGGUUGCCUGGGGCUGUGCUGACGCUGAUGCGCGAAAGCGUGGGGAGCGAUCCGG
rnacentral:rRNA from 1 species